rnacentral:rRNA from 1 species
GAUGAACGCUGGCGGCGUGCCUAAUACAUGCAAGUCGAGCGAACGGACGAGAAGCUUGCUUCUCUGAUGUUAGCGGCGGACGGGUGAGUAACACGUGGUUAACCUACCUAUAAGACUGGGAUAACUUCGGGAAACCGGAGCUAAUACCGGAUGAUAUUUUGAACCGCAUGGUUCAAAAGUGAAAGACGGUCUUGCUGUCACUUAUAGAUGGAUCCGCGCUGCAUUAGCUAGUUGGUAAGGUAACGGCUUACCAAGGCAACGAUGCAUAGCCGACCUGAGAGGGUGAUCGGCCACACUGGAACUGAGACACGGUCCAGACUCCUACGGGAGGCAGCAGUAGGGAAUCUUCCGCAAUGGGCGAAAGCCUGACGGAGCAACGCCGCGUGAGUGAUGAAGGUCUUCGGAUCGUAAAACUCUGUUAUUAGGGAAGAACAUAUGUGUAAGUAACUGUGCACAUCUUGACGGUACCUAAUCAGAAAGCCACGGCUAACUACGUG